GUAGAUAUAUGGAAGAACACCAGUGGCGAAGGCGGCUGUCUGGUCUGUAACUGACGCUGAGGCUCGAAAGUAUGGGUAGCAAACAGGAUUAGAUACCCUGGUAGUCCAUACCGUAAACGAUGAAUGCUAAGUGUUGGAGGGUUUCCGCCCUUCAGUGCUGCAGCUAACGCAUUAAGCAUUCCGCCUGGGGAGUACGNCCGCAAGGNUGAAACUCAAAGGAAUUGACGGGGGCCCGCACAAGCGGUGGAGCAUGUGGUUUAAUUCGAAGCUACGCGAAGAACCUUACCAGGUCUUGACAUCCUAUGCANAUUUNAGAGAUUNGACNUUCCCUUCGGGGACAUNGAUACAGGUGGUGCAUGGUUGUCGUCAGCUCGUGUCGUGAGAUGUUGGGUUAAGUCCCGCAACGAGCGCAACCCUUAUUAUCAGUUGCCANCAUUAAGUUGGGCACUCUGGCGAGACUGCCGGUGACAAACCGGAGGAAGGUGGGGAUGACGUCAAAUCAUCAUGCCCCUUAUGACCUGGGCUACACACGUGCUACNAUGGAAUGGUACAACGAGUUGCGAACUCGCGAGAGUAAGCUAAUCUCUUAAAGCCAUUCUCAGUUCGGAUU
rnacentral:rRNA from 2 species